UUAACUCCACCAGUAAAAUAAUAAUAAUAAUAAUAAUAAUAAUAAUAAUAAUAAUAAUAAAAAUCGCUUGUCCCCAUUUUAAAUUUUAGUUAAUUUAUAUUUUCAGCUAAAUUUAUUUUUAAAUAAAAUAAAUGAAACGGAUAAUAUACUAUCUAUCUCUCAAAAAAAAUAAUAAAAUAAAAAAAUUCUGCAGGUAUUAUUUAAAUUAUGAACUACCUUAAGUUAACUAUUUAGUUUUUUAAAUUUUGAAUUGUAUGAUUUUAAUUUUUCAUUUUAAUUGAUUUGAAUAAGUCAAAUACUUCAAAAUUUAAGCUAAUUACUUAUUUUGCUGAAUUUAUAAUAAAGUUUUUGAAGAUAAAUGGAAUAUUUACACUUUGAUGUCAAAAGACCGUUGGCUAA
rnacentral:lncRNA from 1 species